CCCUCGCCCCGCCGCGGGGCCGGGCGGCCGCGGCGCCACCGACACCUUACUUCCUGCUUCGCUACCCGGGGCCAGACCCAUCGCGGCGGAGGGAUCCCGCCGCCUCCCGCAGCCUCCUCCCCCUCCUGCUUCUGCUUUUCCCGGCUCCCUGCUGCAAGGAAAUUAUUUGACAGCGAUUUGCUGACACUGGGGAUUUUUUUCUUUUUCUUUUUUUUUUUUUUUUUCUUUUUUUUUUUUUUUUUACGGACUCGGCAGCUCGGCGGGCGGGGGAGGCCGUGCCGGAGAUGGAAUUUCAUUAUUUGCUGUAUUUUGAAUAGGACGAGGAGAUGUGUCUGAUAAGAUACGUCACUUUGAGAUCACAGAAUGAAAGCAGCAUGAAAUGUUAUGGCAAAGACAGCACAAGAAGACACAAGAAUCUCACAAAUCCUCAAAAAUCAGGUAAUGUCAAAGCAUCAUAUGUCCAGUUUUUCAAAGGCUGUCUUUAAUAAGUUUAAUGAGUUUAUAACUUAUUAUUAAUAUAUAUAAUAAUAAUAAUAUAAUAAUUAUAAUCACUUAUUAAACAGUUAAUAAGUUUAACUGUUUAAUAAGUUUCAGUGCUUUUUGACAGUUUUUCAAAAUUUGGGCUUCUGAGUCCCUGUGAGUUUAUUCAUGGACUGUUCAAAUCUGGUUAGCUGUGUGUGGGCUGUGUAUCUAGUAGAAUAUUAUUUUGUGUUCCACAGUAUGUAUGACACAAGAGGUAUACACACAUAUCUUAAAGGACUACUUUGGCUGUAUUGUCUCAUACAAGCAAAAGGACAUUAACUUAAGAAAAAAAGAAGCAGCAACUAAGGUGAUCAGGUUUUUUUAGCCAUUGGAUUUGACUUGGCUCCACUGCUAGGCACCAGCAUGGACUAUUGCAGAGGGAUGGACUUUUCAGAGGGUCCUGCAGCUGCAUUUCUCAAAACUCUCUCCUUUGGGGAAGACACCAGGCUCAAAAUAGCUGUUCCCUCCCCACUGAAAGCUUAGCCAUAUGCUAUUUUCCACAUACUACUACUUGUGCUUGAUUUUUUUGAUUGUUUAUCUCUCUCAGGAUGUUUUCUCCUUGCCUGUUUUUGCAAAUCCUAGCAUAUGUUCUUUGACUGUUUUGAAGCAUUUCUAGUUACAGAAAAAGGCAAUCACAUUGCACUCUGCAAAGAGUAAACACUACAGAGGUCAGAAAGAAACUGCUUAAGUGCAUUACAAGGGUGCUCACCUUAAACUAAACUUGGGGCUUAUCAUGGCUGUGGUCACAGCAAAAGCUGAUGGAUUAAUGUUUGAAAAUUUCCCCCUCUUCCCCAAAUCAACAGCAGCAACCAGAGGUAAUGUAGCCACAUACAGUAACUGAAUGAGGUCUGACCUCUCUGUCCUAAGUUCAUUUCAUGUUUGCAGAACUAGGAUCUUGCUGGGGAAUAACAAGUGAGUCAGUUCAAUAAUAGAAAUAAACUAAAAUAUGAACCCGAAGACA
rnacentral:lncRNA from 1 species